GCCGGGUGUGGUGGCUCACGCCUGUAAUCCCAGCACUUUGGGAGGCCGAGGCAGGCGGAUCACCUGAGGUCGGGAGUUCAAGACCAGCCUGACCAACAUGGUGAAACCCCGUCUCUA
ensembl:misc_RNA Metazoa_SRP Metazoan signal recognition particle RNA